rnacentral:rRNA from 1 species
AGGUUAAGUUAACAAGGGCGCAUGGUGAAUGCCUUGGCACUAGGAGCCGAUGAAGGACGGGACUAACACCGAUAUGCUUCGGGGAGCUGUACGUAAGCUAUGAUCCGGAGAUUUCCGAAUGGGGCAACCCAGCAGUUUUAAUCAACUGUUACCACUAGAUGAAUUCAUAGUCUAGUUGGAGGUAAACGCUGUGAACUGAAACAUCUCAUUAGCAGCAGGAAUAUAAAGAAAUUUCGAUUCCCUAAGUAGCGGCGAGCGAACGGGGAACAGCCCAAACCAAAGUGCUUGCACUUUGGGGUUGUAGGACUGAACAUUUGAGUUACCAAAGAACUUGAUAGUCGAAGGAUUUGGGAAAAUCCGCCAUAGAUGGUGAUAGCCCAGUAGAUUAAAUCAAAUUCUCUCAGUUCAGGAUCCUGAGUACGGCGGAACACGUGAAAUUCCGUCGGAAUCCGGGAGGACCAUCUCCCAAGGCUAAAUACUACCUAGUGACCGAUAGUGAACCAGUACCGUGAGGGAAAGGUGAAAAGCACCCCGGGAGGGGAGUGAAAUAGUUCCUGAAACCAUGUGCCUACAAUAAGUCAGAGCGCGUUAAUGCGUGAUGGCGUGCCUUUUGUAGAAUGAACCGGCGAGUUAUGAUCCCGUGCAAGGUUAAGACUAAAAAGUCGGAGCCGUAGCGAAAGCGAGUCUGAAAUGGGCGUUUUGAGUACGAGGUUAUAGACCCGAAACCAGGUGACCUAUCCAUGUCCAGGUUGAAGGUGCGGUAAAACGCACUGGAGGACCGAACCCGUGUAAGUUGAAAAUUGCUGGGAUGAGGUGUGGAUAGCGGUGAAAUUCCAAACGAACUUGGAGAUAGCUGGUUCUCUCCGAAAUAGCUUUAGGGCUAGCCUCGGAAUUAGGAUCAUGGAGGUAGAGCACUAUUUGGACUAGGGGCCCGUCUUGGGUUACUGAAUUCAGAUAAACUCCGAAUGCCAUUGAUUCAUAUCCGGGAGUCAGACGAUGAGUGAUAAGAUCCACCGUCGAAAGGGGAACAGCCCAGACCAUCAGUUAAGGUCCCUAAAUGUAUGCUAAGUGGAAAAGGAUGUGGAGUUGCAUAGACAACUAGGAUGUUGGCUCAGAAGCAGCCACCAUUUAAAGAGUGCGUAAUAGCUCACUAGUCGAGUGAUCCUGCGCCGAAAAUGUACCGGGGCUAAGCAUACUACCGAAACCAUGGAUGCGACCAUUAGGUCGCGUGAUAGGAGAGCGUUCUAAGGGCGAUGAAGCAAGAUCGUGAGGACUUGUGGAGCGCUUAGAAGUGAGAAUGCCGGUAUGAGUAGCGAAAGAUAGGUGAGAAUCCUAUCCACCGAAUGACUAAGGUUUCCUGGGGAAGGCUCGUCCUCCCAGGGUUAGUCGGGACCUAAGUCGAGGCCGAGAGGCGUAGACGAUGGAUAACAGGUUGAGAUUCCUGUACUAGUUAAGUGCGUUUGAGCAAUGGAGGGACGCAGGAGGCUAAGAUGUGCAUUCUGUUGGAUUAGAAUGUCCAAGCAGUAAGUCUUGUGAAGAGUCAAAUGCUUUUCACUUUAAGGACAAGCUGUGAUGGGGAGCGAAAUUUAGUAGCGAAGCGUCUGAUGUCACACUGCCGAGAAAAGCUUCUAGUGAGUACUUAACUACCCGUACCGCAAACCGACACAGGUAGUCGAGGAGAGAAUCCUAAGGUGAGCGAGUGAACUCUCGUUAAGGAACUCGGCAAAAUGACCCCGUAACUUCGGGAGAAGGGGUGCUGAUCGCAAGAUCAGCCGCAGUGAAUAGGCCCAGGCGACUGUUUAUCAAAAACACAGGUCUCUGCAAAAUCGUAAGAUGACGUAUAGGGGCUGACGCCUGCCCGGUGCUGGAAGGUUAAAAGGAUGGGUUAGCUUCGGCGAAGCUCAGAAUUGAAGCCCCAGUAAACGGCGGCCGUAACUAUAACGGUCCUAAGGUAGCGAAAUUCCUUGUCGGGUAAGUUCCGACCCGCACGAAAGGCGUAACGAUCUGGGCACUGUCUCAACGAGAGACUCGGUGAAAUUAUAUUGUCCGUGAAGAUGCGGACUACCCGCGACAGGACGGAAAGACCCCAUGGAGCUUUACUGUAGCUUGAUAUUGAGUGUUUGUACAGCUUGUACAGGAUAGGUAGGAGCCAUAGAAACCGGAACGCUAGUUUCGGUGGAGGCGUUGGUGGGAUACUACCCUCGCUGUAUGACCACUCUAACCCGCACCACUAAUCGUGGUGGGAGACAGUGUCAGGUGGGCAGUUUGACUGGGGCGGUCGCCUCCUAAAAAGUAACGGAGGCGCCCAAAGGUUCCCUCAGAAUGGUUGGAAAUCAUUCGCAGAGUGUAAAGGCACAAGGGAGCUUGACUGCGAGACAGACAGGUCGAGCAGGGACGAAAGUCGGGCUUAGUGAUCCGGUGGUACCGUAUGGAAGGGCCAUCGCUCAACGGAUAAAAGCUACCCUGGGGAUAACAGGCUUAUCUCCCCCAAGAGUCCACAUCGACGGGGAGGUUUGGCACCUCGAUGUCGGCUCAUCGCAUCCUGGGGCUGUAGUCGGUCCCAAGGGUUGGGCUGUUCGCCCAUUAAAGCGGUACGCGAGCUGGGUUCAGAACGUCGUGAGACAGUUCGGUCCCUAUCCGUCGCGGGCGUAGGAAAUUUGAGAGGACCUGUCCUUAGUACGAGAGGACCGGGAUGGACAUACCUCUGGUGUACCAGUUGUGCCGCCAGGCGCAUCGCUGGGUAGCUACGUAUGGAUGUGAUAAACGCUGAAAGCAUCUAAGUGUGAAACACACCUCGAGAUGAGAUUUCCCAUUUCUUUAUGGAAGUAAGACCCCUGAAAGAUGAUCAGGUAGAUAGGUUAGAAGUGGCAGUGCGGUGACGCAUGAAGCGGACUAAUACUAAUCGGUCGAGGACUUAACCAAG